UACGGAGGAUGCGAGCGUUAUCCGGAUUUAUUGGGUUUAAAGGGUGCGUAGGCGACUUUUUAAGUCAGUGGUGAAAUACUCCGGCUCAACCGGGGGGCUGCCGUUGAUACUGGUUACCUUGAGUUUAGAUGAUGUGGGCGGAAUGUGUCAUGUAGCGGUGAAAUGCAUAGAGAUGACACAGAACACCGAUAGCGAAGGCAGCUCACAAAGCUAUUACUGACGCUGAUGCACGAAAGCGUGGGGAUCAAACAGGAUUAGA
rnacentral:rRNA from 1 species